rnacentral:rRNA from 1 species
UACGUAGGGUGCGAGCGUUGUCCGGAAUUAUUGGGCGUAAAGAGCUUGUAGGCGGUUUGUCGCGUCUGCUGUGAAAAUCCGGGGCUCAACCCCGGACUUGCAGUGGGUACGGGCAGACUAGAGUGUGGUAGGGGAGACUGGAAUUCCUGGUGUAGCGGUGAAAUUCGUAGAUAUCGGGAGGAACACCGGUGGCGAAGGCGGCGAUCUGGGUCGAUACUGACGCUGAGGUGCGAAAGCGUGGGGAGCAAACAGG